UACGUAGGGUGCAAGCGUUAAUCGGAAUUACUGGGCGUAAAGCGUGCGCAGGCGGUGAUGUAAGACAGAUGUGAAAUCCCCGGGCUCAACCUGGGAACUGCAUUUGUGACUGCAUCGCUGGAGGGCGGCAGAGGGGGAUGGAAUUCCGCGUGUAGCAGUGAAAUGCGUAGAUAUGCGGAGGAACACCGAUGGCGAAGGCAAUCCCCUGGGCCUGCACUGACGCUCAUGCACGAAAGCGUGGGGAGCAAACAGG
rnacentral:rRNA from 1 species